UAGGAAUGAAUAGAGAGUGGGAACAUUUUUCUGUGGUGAGCUCAAUUUUUUUCCUUUGAUAAAUCUUCCCCAUAGCAUAUAACUUAUGCCUAAAGCAACUAUAAUCAACUAGAGUUUUUUUUACAAUGAUUCUUGUAAAAAUAUUUCUAUUUGUUAUUCUUUUCUGUUUUUUAUGUUAAUAAAAUAUGUUUAAAACAAGUUUGAGGUAGGAAUUACUGCACAACAUAGACUUGAUCUGCAAUAACAGUUCUUGCCUGGUGUACUAAAUACCAAUGACAAAGUUAGUUUCAUCUUUCACAGUAAAUGUUAUUGGUGUUUUUCACAGACACCAGAGGGAGCUGAAAGGAUGCAUUGCACAAGAGGCACUGGCCUGGACAGCAUGAAGCUGGCACGUGCAUAAAGUUGGAGACGUGCGGGUGUGCCGUCCUGCAGCCACAGGAUACUCUGUGAGUGAAUCAGAACAGCUAUUUCCCAGACACAAGAUUAGAAAUUGUGAAAGUGUCAAUCGGCCAAAAAUACACAGGAUGUUGUGUCACACUGUGCUUCAAAUAUAGACGUGCCAGAGGUCUCAUCAGAACACAAUCAAAGAAGGACCACGUAUUUCAUACAUCUAUCACUAUACAUGAUGGUUAUUCAUGUGUACACCCAAUUACAAAACCAUUGGAACGAAGUGGAGAAAAAUCUUUUCACCUUUCACCUAUUUAUCAAUUCCGUUGUUCCAAAUGUUCGAAUUUUUUUUUCUCCAUUCCCACAAUGCGACGAUUUUUUAGAAAUGUGGGGGAGUGACGAGGCAUUUCCAUCACACAGCAUUUUUCUGGAUGCAGACUUGACCUACAGGUUACUGUGUGAAAGUUCAUCGCAAAUCCUUGUGGUGCGCAGCUCUUCCGCAUGCUGAUCAUUUUCCAGACAAAGAACUUUUGUUGUGCCCAGGAGAGUGAUGACGACCCUUAGCUGGAUCUCUAUAUCCUGCUCUAAAGAUUAUUUAUUGGAGGGCAAGAGGGACAUUAUGACAUAAAUAUUUUUCCAGUGACAUUAAAAGAGAUUAAACCAAAAAAUAAAAUUUUGCCUAAUGUUGCCUAAAUAUAAUGCUAAGCAACUUUGUAAUAUAUGUUCA